AAGCGUUACAACUCAUUCCCGAUAGGAUUCACGCUUUUAGUGAAGAUGCCUUGUAACCACAAAUAUAAUGAAUGGGGGAAUUUUAUUAUG
rnacentral:sRNA from 20 species